GGCCGUCUGGCGCAAUGGCAGCGCGUCCGCCUACGAUCAACGCCCAGGUAUACCUUGUGGUGUGGGAAUAGCGGGAGGUUGCAGGUUCAACCCCUGCGUCGGUCA